rnacentral:rRNA from 1 species
UGCAAGUCGUACGAGAGUUUUUAACUCAAGUGGCGGACGGGUGAGUAACACGUAAGAAUUUACCUUUAGGAGGGGGAUAACAACUGGAAACGGUUGCUAAUACCCCAUAUGCUUUCGAGUGAAAUGGAUUUUUCCGCCUAGAGAGAAGCUUGCGGCUAAUUAGCUUGUUGGUGAGGUAAUGGCUCACCAAGGCGACGAUCAGUAUCUGGUUUGAGAGGACGAUCAGACACACUGGAACUGAGACACGGUCCAGACUCCUACGGGAGGCAGCAGUGGGGAAUUUUCCGCAAUGGGCGAAAGCCUGACGGAGCAAUACCGCGUGAGGGAUGACGGCCUAUGGGUUGUAAACCUCUUUUUUCAGGGAGGAAUAAAUGACAUGUACCUGAAGAAUAAGCAUCGGCUAACUCCGUGCCAGCAGCCGCGGUAAGACGGAGGAUGCAAGUGUUAUCCGGAAUCACUGGGCGUAAAGCGUCUGUAGGUGGUUUAAUAAGUCAACUGUUAAAUCUUGAGGCCCAACCUCAAAAUCGCAGUCGAAACUAUUAGACCAGAGUAUAGUAGGGGUAAAGGGAAUUUCCAGUGGAGCGGUGAAAUGCGUAGAGAUUGGAAAGAACACCGAUGGCGAAGGCACUUUACUGGGCUAUUACUAACACUCAGAGACGAAAGCUAGGGUAGCAAAUGGGAUUAGAUACCCCAGUAGUCCUAGCUGUAAA